rnacentral:misc_RNA from 1 species
GCAUUUUCAGAGUUGAAAGUCUAACCUAAACCACCCACCACUUUAGACCCAUUUCCUCACACAACAUGCGUUAAAAAAAAGUCUUGCUUCUUCUCUCUCCCUCUGCACGAUAAAAGCAUUUGUAGAGGGAGAAAAUCUCACUUUCUCUCUCUAAACCCCCCAAACCCCCACGCUUCUUCGUCUUUUUCUCUCUCUAGCCCUAAAAUAUGAAACCCCAAUACUAGAGAGAGAAAGAGAGAAAAUCACAAAAGAUCAAACCCAAAACAUAAAGCAGCGUUUCUCACCUUCCCUAUUUUUUUCAACGUUUUAAACCCAGAUCAAACUGUGGGAAUUAUGGAGUUUCUGGGCAAAAUUGUUCAGAAGGACUUCAAGGGUCAUGGUGUCUUCUCGGGAGUUGUUCAAUCGUACGACGCGUCGUCUGGCUUAUUCGAGGUCGUCUACGAGGACGGCGAUUCUGAGGAGCUCGAUUUCUCUGAGGUCGCUUCUCUGUUGAAGCGGAAAGAAGCUGACCCGGCUGCCCACAGGCAACGGGUUGGUCGUAGGCCCAAGAAGCGCCUUCGAAUCGAGCCAAGGAAGCGUGAAGACGGAGGAGUUGGUGAAGAGACGGGUAAUUCUAUUUCUCAUUCUCAGCCAAUUGCAGAAACCCUAGGGGGACAAAGUGGUGUGGUUGUAGAGUCUAAUGAGAAAUUAGAUAUGAAUCGGAAUGUUGAUUUGAAUGAUGGAUUUAUUGGGAAUUCGAGAGAAGGUGAUUGUAGUAAUGUGAAUUUGGGAAAUAUGACUGUUGAUUUGAAUGAAGCUCUGGAGAAGGGGAGUGGAGUUUUGGAGACUUUGAGAGAAAGUGGGUCUGUUAAUGGGUGUUUGAAUGGAAAUGUUAGCAUGAAGGAGGCGCUUGAUUUGAAUGCCGGGUUUAACUUAAACUUGAAUGAAGGACUUGAUUUGAAUGAGGGGGGUCAUAUAAAUUCCAACGGUCCAGAAAAUUUGAAGAAGAGAGAGUGUAUAGACUUAAAUUUGGCUGUGAAUGGUGAUGUGGAUGAGAAUUUGGGGGAGGUUGAUUUGGGGAUUAAUCACACAGAGAGUCAGAAGAAGGAAUGUGGGUUUGAUUUGAAUUUGGGGAUCGAUGAGGAAAUUAAGGAUGACCCAGAUGGUGAUUGUGGAGGGGAAGCCAAGGAAAGUACGUCAUGUGAGGUGGUUAAAGAGGAGACUCAAAAGAUGGAUGUUGCAAGUAGGGAUUUGGAGAGAAUUUAUAAUGAAGGUGCUAUUGCUAAUUCAACGCUGCAGGAAGUUCACGUUGUGGAUGAUUCAUAUGUAGGGUUGGCUAUAGGAAUCUGGAAGGACACCAUAUCUGGUGAAGAUUUCAGGGUUGGUGAUUCUGUUGAAAUGCAGGAUACUAAAACUAUUAAAG